GACGAACGCUGGCGGCGUGCCUAAUACAUGCAAGUCGAACGAAGCUGUUUUAACUGGUGCUUGCACCGACUUAAACAACUGAGUGGCGAACGGGUGAGUAACACGUGGGUAACCUGCCCCAAAGCGGGGGAUAACAUUUGGAAACAGAUGCUAAUACCGCAUAACCACAGAAACCACAUGGUCUCUGUGUCAAAGAUGGUUUCGGCUAUCACUUUGGGAUGGACCCGCGGCGUAUUAGCUAGUUGGUAAGGUAAUGGCUUACCAAGGCAAUGAUACGUAGCCGAACUGAGGGGUUGGUCGGCCACAUUGGGACUGAGACACGGCCCAAACUCCUACGGGAGGCAGCAGUAGGGAAUCUUCCACAAUGGACGAAAGUCUGAUGGAGCAACGCCGCGUGAGUGAUGAAGGUUUUCGGAUCGUAAAACUCUGUUGUAAGGGAAGAACACGUACGAGAGGGAAUGCUCGUACCUUGACGGUAUCUGGCCAGAAAGCCACGGCUAACUACGUGCCAGCCGCCGCUGUAA
rnacentral:rRNA from 1 species